UCUUAUGAUGAUAACCUUGUCCAGUUCUGCUACUGAAUGAUAAGUGAUGAUACUGUGGUUACUGAGGAA